rnacentral:lncRNA from 1 species
CUGCCUUGCCUCCAAGAAAACUAUGGACUUCAAAGCACUCCCAAUUACACACUCACAGAAUUUAAAUAAUAAUCUCAUAUUUCUUUCUCUCUCUCCCCCUCAGUGCUGUACGUGACAGUAUUGCUACAGUGAAGUAUUUUGGUUUGACCACAGUGUGACAGACUAAAGUCCAUAGACAAGAGACGCAGUAUGUGCACUCAAUGAGCCUAAUGUUAAUGAACUGUCUGCCAGGGGCUGAUUAUUUCCUGGGAUUUUAUAACAUUUUUGCAACAGAAAUGCGCUGCAUAUUAAUAGCAGCAGCUCUGGUCCAAAUGGGUUUAGGAUGCAGCAGGACUUACACAUGA